UACGUAGGGUGCAAGCGUUAAUCGGAAUUACUGGGCGUAAAGCGUGCGCAGGCGGUUCGGAAAGAAAGGUGUGAAAUCCCAGGGCUUAACCUUGGAACUGCACUUUUAACUACCGGGCUAGAGUACGUCAGAGGGGGGUAGAAUUCCACGUGUAGCAGUGAAAUGCGUAGAGAUGUGGAGGAAUACCGAUGGCGAAGGCAGCCCCCUGGGAUGAUACUGACGCUCAUGCACGAAGGCGUGGGGAGCAAACAGG
rnacentral:rRNA from 1 species